rnacentral:misc_RNA from 1 species
GAUGAAGAACGUAGCGAAAUGCGAUAAGUAAUGUGAAUUGCAGAAUUCAGUGAAUCAUCGAAUCUUUGAACGCACCUUGCGCCCUUUGGCCAUUCCGAAGGGCAUGCCUGUUUGAGUAUCAUGAACACCUCAACUCUUCAUGGUUUUCCAUGAUGAGCUUGGACUUUGGGGGUCUUGCUGGCCUGUGGGUCGGCUCCUCUCAAAUGAAUCAGCUUGCCGGUUUUUGGUGGGCAUCACAGGUGUGAUAACUAUCUACGCUUGUGGUUUUCCACCAGGGUAACCUUCAGCAGUGGAGGUUCACUGGAGCUUACAAAUGUCUCUCCUCUGUGAGGACAGCCCUUUGAAUGUUUGAUCUCAAAUCAGGUAGGACUACCCGCUGAACUUAAGCAUAGCAAUAAGCGGAGGA